UACGGAGGGUGCAAGCGUUAUCCGGAUUCACUGGGCUUAAAGGGUGCGUAGGCGGGCAUGUAAGUCAGUGGUGAAAUCUCAAAGCUUAACUUUGAAACUGCCAUUGAUACUAUGUGUCUUGAAUUUCCUGGAGGUUAGCGGAAUAUGUCAUGUAGCGGUGAAAUGCUUAGAUAUGACAUAGAACACCGAUUGCGAAGGCAGCUGACUAUAGGUAGAUUGACGCUGAUGCACGAAAGCGUGGGGAUCAAACAGG
rnacentral:rRNA from 1 species